rnacentral:lncRNA from 1 species
CCUGGCCAACGUGCUUUGUGGAUUCACAGUGUAGCUUGAGAAAAAUGGUUUCCUUCCAAAUUCUCUACCCACACACCUUAAGAGAUUCUGAUACAUCAUAAAUAGAGGGACAUACAUCUUUACAUGAAAACGACAUGGAAGAUUUUCUGAGGGACAUGUGAAUGGUGAAUUUGCAUGAUGUGGAGACCCAAAAUGGCUGAGGACUGCUGCUCAGUGCCCCAGCUCUGUUCACUCGCCUAGAGUUUCCUGAACAAGCCCUGCUGCUUCUGUCUUCUGAGCUCUGACCCACCAAGCCAUUUCCUCUACUUGGAGUGCUUUCCUUCCCUUUCUGCUUUUCCCUUCUCAAAACCAAGCUAAAACAUUGCCUGCU